rnacentral:tRNA from 1 species
UAUAUAUAAGUGUAUUAAGCACAAAGAACUUUGAAUUCUUUAGAUUUAGAUUAACCUAAAAUGUAUAA